GGGACCAUGGCUUAAGUGAUAGAGCACCUGUUUAGCAAACUGGAAGCUCUGAGUUCAAUCCUCAGUACUAUCU
rnacentral:tRNA from 1 species